GACAGGCACAGUCGGGACACAGAUGGUUGCGAGUUGUAGCAUAGGCAUAGUUGGAGAAAGGCGGCUGUGGGGCUGCAGCACAGGCACGGUCGAAGAGAUACGCAGUGGCAGAUCACAACACAAGCACAGUUGGGGAGACAAACAGUUGCAAAGCCAUGGCAUGGGUGUAGCCGCAUGCAGGCAGUUGCGGGACACAUGGACAACUGGAUUAUAGGCAGCUAUGGGA
rnacentral:lncRNA from 1 species